rnacentral:rRNA from 1 species
CCUACGGGUCGCACCAGUGGGGAAUAUUGCACAAUGGGCGCGAGCCUGAUGCAGCCAUGCCGCGUGUAUGAAGAAGGCCUUCGGGUUGUAAAGUACUUUCAGCGGGGAGGAAGGUGUUGAGGUUAAUAACCUCAGCAAUUGACGUUACCCGCAGAAGAAGCACCGGCUAACUCCGUGCCAGCAGCCGCGGUAAUACGGAGGGUGCAAGCGUUAAUCGGAAUUACUGGGCGUAAAGCGCACGCAGGCGGUCUGUCAAGUCGGAUGUGGAAUCCCAGGGCUGAACCUGGGAACUGCAUUCGAAACUGGCAGGCUAGAGUCUUGUAGAGGGGGGUAGAAUUCCAGGUGUAGCGGUGGAAUGCGUAGAGAUCUGGAGGAAUACCGGUGGCGAAGGCGGCCCCCUGGACAAAGACUGACGCCCAGGUGCGAAAGCGUGGGGAGCAAACAGGAUUAGAUACCCGCGUAGUC